rnacentral:lncRNA from 1 species
AUCAGAUCAUCGCGCCAAACUUUGAUAUUUCAAACAAAAAGUAACUUGGGUUAAGUCCGUACCUUUCCAUUUCCUGUGCUGUCAAGACCUAGGGGAAAUGGGGUGAGCUCUGGGCUUUCUCUUGUUCCACACUGGACAGGACAUGCGUGUAUGAGUUUCCAAGGACCUGGUCCAGCAUAAGUCGCUCAAGGCUCAUGUCAUCUUAGCUUCCAGCCCACAUUGCUGGAGGACAACACAUGUUCAACCUGCAGCUGAAAGCCUUUCUCAGAACCUGAUCAUCUGUAGAAGGACCUGCAGGUUUCCUGUGGGAAUAAGAUCAUUGGAUGACAGUGAACUGAUGAAGGGUUCAGCCCCUGCACAGUGUGCUGGAGGAUCCCAGGAUUAUACAAGUCUUCAGGAGUAGACACACAGAGACCAGGCACUGCCGUGACCAGCUAUACCGAGUGGUCACCAUGGCAACAUAGAGCCGACUCCAGUGCAGGACCCACGCGUUCCAGCCAACAUGUGAAUGACACCUGGCCUUGGACAGGUGUGGUGCAGCAUCUGAAGAGACCAUGGAGAUCCAUCCACCCACAAAUCACCCAGGAAACUCCUGUGGGGACCAGAGUGUGAGGCUGUGAAGAGAAUAUGUAACGAAUCAGACUGCAAACUUGUAGGUUUUCUCUCUGUCUCUCAGUCUCUCUCUCUUUCUCCAGAUAACUUUUAUUCCUUGCAUAAUGAAUCUUUGGCACUUACAUGGGGUUUUUUUCUUGGCUGAUAAACAGAAGCCUUAAGUGACUUUUUUAUUUACUCUGUUUUACUAUGAGGAAAGUAGUAGUGUCUUUCAUCUCUCUACCAUUGUAAUUUAAAAGGGGACUUUAUACCCAUAAUUAUGCAAAAUAGCACCAGUGUGUGUAUAUUCAGCUGAGCAAAUGGAGAAUCAGAGUUAAGGG